UACGGAGGAUCCAAGCGUUAUCCGGAUUUAUUGGGUUUAAAGGGUGCGUAGGCGGAUUGAUAAGUUAGAGGUGAAAUGUCCGAGCUCAACUCGGGAACUGCCUCUAAUACUGUUGAUCUAGAGAGUAGAUGCGGUAGGCGGAAUGUAUGGUGUAGCGGUGAAAUGCUUAGAGAUCAUACAGAACACCGAUUGCGAAGGCAGCUUACCAAUCUAUAUCUGACGUUGAGGCACGAAAGCGUGGGGAGCAAAUAGG
rnacentral:rRNA from 1 species